UCAGCCCCCGGAGGCAGGGUCCUGCGACCAGCACCCCGCGGGUCAGUUGCCUUCGUGCUACCUGGGCUCCAAGUCCUCGCCCUGCCGGAUGAAGCAAUGGUCUAUUUCUUUAUGGCAGUUCAGCAGAUUCGGAGAGGGGGAAUCCAACAGUCAGACCGGGCCCAGACAAGGGAGGCCAGACACUGCGGUGCUGCAGGAGUGGAGUGGGCUGCUCUCGGGAGUAAGGGGUCCAAGUUCAAUUUGGGCCUCACCAUGUCUCAGAUCUUUUUAUAGGCCCUUGGAAAGUUCCCAGCCCAGUACCUGGCCAUUGUCCUAUGGAUAAAAUAGAACCACCUGUGUUUGGUGGGAGAAGGGCUGAAGGAGACCUCUCUGGACACUGCCCUCCCCAACCAGCAGCCAUGUAGAAAGAUGGCAAGACGAAGUCACUCAGUGGCCUUGAGGGACCAAAAGGAUCACGAUAACAUUGGUGACUUCUCUGGACCAGCCAUAGCCCUCUCCCCUGGUUUUUCUUGCAUGCUGGGGGCCUCAAAAUGACUGAAAUUGAAAAUAUUAUUCAUUCAUUUAUUCAGUAUUUACUGAGCCAUAAAUCAAUACAACCCUUAACAAAAGCAAUUUGACAUCAUCUGUUAAAAUGACAACGGCAAAUACCCUUUGAUUCAGCGAUUCCACUUUUGGGAAUGUGUUUCAUGGAUGUAUUUAUUCUUACACUUAAUCAAAUCCAUAUAAGGUUAUCCAUUGCUGCAUUUUCAGGAAUUAAAAAAAAUUGGAAACAACUCAAAUGACCAUCAAUAGAGGACUGGUUACAAAAAUUAUUAUGUAUUCAUACAAUGGAAUAAUAUGCAGCUGUGAAAAUAAGAAUGGCACCCCUCUCUUUAGUCUUGUGGAAGGAGUGCCAAGAUACACUGUUGAAUUUUUUUUACAAGGCAAGGUGCAGAAUGCUGUAUAGUACUCUAUCUUUUAUGUAAGAAGGUGAGGAAAAUAAUAUACACACUUGGCUGGGCGCAGCAGCUCAUGCCUAUAAUCCCAACACCUUUAGUCCCAGCUACUCAAGAGGCUGAGGUGUGGGAGGAUUGCUUGAGCCCAGGAGGUUGAGGGUGCAGUGAGCUGUGGUUGCACCACUGCACUCCAGCCUGGCCAACAGAGCAAGGCUUUGUCUCAAAGAAAGAAAAGAAAAGAAAAGAAGAGAAGAGAAGAGAAGGGAAAAAGAAAAGAAAAGAAAAAAUAUACAUACUUAUUUGGAUGUACAUAAACCCAGGAAGGACAUUCAAGGAACAACUAACAGUGGUUAUCUAUGGGAAUGAAAUGCGACGGAGCAGCUACUCAGGGACAAAGCUCUUGGUUCCUUCCUUA
rnacentral:lncRNA from 1 species